AUUGAACGCUGGCGGCAGGCCUAACACAUGCAAGUCGAGCGGAUGAAGGGAGCUUGCUCCUGGAUUCAGCGGCGGACGGGUGAGUAAUGCCUAGGAAUCUGCCUGGUAGUGGGGGAUAACGUCCGGAAACGGGCGCUAAUACCGCAUACGUCCUGAGGGAGAAAGUGGGGGAUCUUCGGACCUCACGCUAUCAGAUGAGCCUAGGUCGGAUUAGCUAGUUGGUGGGGUAAAGGCCUACCAAGGCGACGAUCCGUAACUGGUCUGUGAGGAUGAUCAGUCACACUGGAACUGAGACACGGUCCAGACUCCUACGGGAGGCAGCAGUGGGGGAUAUUGGACAAUGGGCGAAAGCCUGAUCCAGCCAUGCCGCGUGUGUGAAGAAGGUCUUCGGAUUGUAAAGCACUUUAAGUUGGGAGGAAGGGCAGUAAGUUAAUACCUUGCUGUUUUGACGUUACCAACAGAAUAAGCACCGGCUAACUUCGUG
rnacentral:rRNA from 1 species